rnacentral:rRNA from 1 species
AGAGUUUGAUCCUGGCUCAGGAUGAACGCUAGCGGCAGGCCUAAUACAUGCAAGUCAAGGGGUUCAGCAAUGGACACCGGCGGACGGGUGAGUAACGCGUACACAACGUACCUUUGGUUGGGGGAUAGCAUUGGGAAACUGGUGGUAAUACCCCAUAGUAUUGCGGGUUGGCAUUAAUCUGCAAUUAAAGUUUUGGCGACCAAAGAUCGGUGUGCGUCCGAUUAGCUAGUUGGCGGGGUAACGGCCCACCAAGGCGACGAUCGGUAGGGGGUGUGAGAGCAUGACCCCCCACAUGGGUACUGAGACACGGACCCAACUCCUACGGGAGGCAGCAGUAAGGAAUAUUGGACAAUGGUCGGAAGACUGAUCCAGCCAUGCCGCGUGAAGGACGAAGGCGCUCAGCGUUGUAAACUUCUUUUGGAUGGGGAUAAUAAUCCUGAUUUAUCAGGACUUGAAGGUACCAUCAGAAUAAGCACCGGCUAACUCCGUGCCAGCAGCCGCGGUAAUACGGAGGGUGCGAGCGUUAUCCGGAAUCACUGGGUUUAAAGGGUGCGUAGGCGGCGAGGUAAGUCAGUUGUGAAAUUCCCCGGCUCAACCGGUGGGACUGCGAUUGAUACUGCUUUGCUUGAAACAGGUUGAGGUAAGCGGAAUGUGGCAUGUAGCGGUGAAAUGCAUAGAUAUGCCAUAGAACACCGAUUGCGAAGGCAGCUUGCUGGGCCUGCUUUGACGCUGAGGCACGAAAGCGUGGGGAGCAAACAGGAUUAGAUACCCUGGUAGUCCACGCCCUAAACGAUGUUUACUUGCUGUUCCUGUCUUGAACGGGAGUGGCGAAGCGAAAGCGCUAAGUAAACCACCUGGGGAGUACGCCGGCAACGGUGAAACUCAAAGGAAUUGACGG